AGAGUUUGUAGUCCUCGGCUCAGGAUGAAACGCUGGCGGCGUGCUUAACACAUGCAAAGUCGAACGAAGCACUUAAGAACGAUUCUUCGGAUGAAGUCUUUUGUGACUGAGUGGCGGACGGGUGAGUAACGCGUGGGUAACCUGCCUCACGACAGGGGGAUAACAGUUGGAACGACCGCUAUACCGCAUAAGCCAACAGGGGCGCAUGCUCUGGUUGGAAAAGAUUUAUCGGUGUGAGAUGGACCCGCGUCUGAUUAGCCAGUUGGCAGGGUAACGGCCUACCCAAAGCGACGAUCAGUAGCCGGCCUGAGAGGGUGAACGGCCACAUUGGGACUGAGACACGGCCCAAACUCCUACGGGAGGCAGCAGUGGGGAAUAUUGCACAAUGGGGGAAACCCUGAUGCGGCGACGCCGCGUGAGUGAAGAAGUAUUUCGGUAUGUAAAGCUCUAUCAGCAGGGAAGAAAAUGACGGUACCUGACUAAGAAGCCCCGGCUAACUACGUG
rnacentral:rRNA from 1 species